rnacentral:rRNA from 1 species
GUCCACGCCCUAAACGAUGAAUACUCGCUGUUAGCGAUACACAGUUAGCGGCUAAGCGAAAGCGUUAAGUAUUCCACCUGGGGAGUACGCCCGCAAGGGUGAAACUCAAAGGAAUUGACGGGGCCCGCACAAGCGGAGGAGCAUGUGGUUUAAUUCGAUGAUACGCGAGGAACCUUACCCGGGCUUGAAAGUUAGUGAAUGAUUUAGAGAUAGAUCAGUGAGCAAUCACACGAAACUAGGUGCUGCAUGGCUGUCGU